rnacentral:rRNA from 1 species
ACGGGUGCGUAAUGUAUAGGAAUCUGCCCUGAAGCGGGGGACAACCCGGGGAAACCCGGGCUAAUACCGCAUAAUACUCUACGGAGGAAAUCUGGCUACGUAAGUAGCUGGGGCUUUAGGAGGAACCUAUAUCCGAUUAGCUAGUUGGUGAGGUAACUGCUUACCAAGGCGAUGAUCGGUAGCUGGUCUGAGAGGAUGGCCAGCCACACUGGGACUGAGACACGGCCCAGACUCCUACGGGAGGCAGCAGUGGGGAAUAUUGGACAAUGGGGGCAACCCUGAUCCAGCAAUGCCGCGUGUGUGAAGAAGGCCUUCGGGUUGUAAAGCACUUUAGGUGGGGAAGAAGGUUAUAGGGUGAUAACCCCUAUAAUUUGACUGUACCCGCAGAAUAAGCACCGGCUAACUCUGUGCCAGCAGCCGCGGUAAUACAGAGGGUGCAAGCGUUAAUCGGAUUUAUUGGGCGUAAAGUGCGCGUAGGUGGUCAAGCAAGUAGGAUGUGAAAGCCCUGGGCUUAACCUGGGAAGUGCAUCCUAAACUGCUUAACUAGAGUAUGGUAGAGGGUAGUGGAAUUUCCGGUGUAGC